ACUCAGAGAGGUAAAUAUGCCCAAGAGGUGGUAGCUAAUAAGUGGCAGAGAUAGAAUUAAAAAAAAUUUUUUUUUAUUUUUUGCUUCUUAAGGCAGCAUCUGCAGCAUAUGGAAGUUCCCAGGCUAGGGGUCAAACUGGAGCUGUAGCUGCCAGCCUACACCACAGCCACAGCAACAUGGGAUCUGAGUCACGUCUGCAACCUAUACCACAGCUCACGGCAACAGCGGAUCCUCAGUCCACUGAACGCGGCCAGGGAUGGAACCCGCAUCCUCAUGGAUACUAAUUUGGUUCAUUACCGCUGAGCCACAACGGGAACUCCCAGAAUUUAAAUCCACGUCUGCAAACUUCUAAAUUCUGUGUUCAGGAUACUGUAUUUCCUUUCCAUAUCAGCCCUCUGAAUAUUCCCCAGAGUCUUCAUUUCAUCUGACUCAGCAAUCUCAGGUCUUUUAGCCAUUCCCACACGUUACAGAGUCAUGAUUCAUCAUCAUCUUGCAGAUGAUGAAAAAUUCACCAUGGUCCAAACUGUUGAUCUGAUUCUCACAUCUCACGUCCUCCUCCGUUUCCCUGCUGUUUCUCCCAAGGCCUUGACAGUAUGACUUCCCCAGGCAAAUACUGCUGAUUUUAAUGAAGAUUUGAGAAAAGACUGCGGACAGCUCCCUUCACCCCAUCUUCCUCACCAAGAACAAACAUUGAAAAAAAUGCAUUUCCCCAUGACUAUCCUCUUGAAAAAUAGAUAGGAUGUGCCUGUUCCGUACAUUUCAUAACACAGACUCAUACAAUAUGUGGUCUUUGUGUCUUUCCAGGAGAUGGGGGAGGGAGGAAUGGAAAGAUACAGGGUUUCUUUGAGGGGGAUGUGACAAGAGUGUUCUCGAAUUAGACGGUGGUGAUGGUUGUAUGGUCUUAGGGAUACACUAAAGCCACUGAACUGUGUGUCUUUUUUUAUUGUGGUAAAAUAUAUAUAAUUACAAUUUAUCAGUUUAACCACUUUUAAGUGAACAGUUCAGGGGUGUUAAAUUACAUUGAUGUGCAAUAUCACCCACAUCCAGCUCCAGAAUUUUUUCAUCUUCCACAGCUGAAGCUCUGUUCUCAUUGAACAGAAGAUCCCCAAUCCCCACUUCUCCUAGCUCCUGGCAACCACCAUUUUUCUUUCUAUCUCUUAUGAAUUUGACUAUUCUAGGUACCUCAUACCAUAUUUGUCCUUUUGCGUUUGGCUUAUCUCACUUAGCACAAUGGCUUCAAGGUUCAUAUAUGUUGGAGCAUGUGUCAGAAUCACUUCCCUUUUAAAGUUGAAUGAUAUUUCACUGUAGAAUGCAACUAGCCAUCGUCAUACUAACUGAAGUAAGUCAGAAAGAGAAAGACAAUUACCAUAUGCUAUCGCUUAUAUGGAUAAUCUAAAAUAUGACGAAUGAUCCCAACUACAAAACAGAAACAGACUCACAGACAUAGAGAACAGACUUGUGGUUGCCAAGGGGAGUGGGGAGUGGGAUGGACGGGGAGUUUGGGGUUGGUAGAUGAAAAUAAUACUUUUAGAAUGGCUAAGCAAUGAGAUCCUACUGUACAGCACAGGGAACUAUGUCCAGUGUCUUGGGACAGAACACGACAGAAAAGAGUAUGAGAAAAAGAAUACACACACACACACACACACACAUACACACACACACACACACACACACACACGUAUGUAUGACUGGGUCACUAUGCUAUACAGCAAAAAAUUGGCACAACAUUUUAUUUUUUUGUUUUGCUUUUUUGUUUGAUUUUUGUCUUUUUUCUAGGGCCCGACCCGUGGCAUAUGGAGGUUCCCAGGCUAGGGGUCUGAUCAGAGCUGUAGCCGCCGGCCUAGCUGCAGCAACAUGGGAUCCAAGCCACAUCUGCGACCUACACCACAGCUCACAGCAACACCGGAUCCUUAACCCAUUGAGAGAGACCAGGGAUCAAACCCGCAACCUCAUGGUCCCUAGUCGGAUUCGUUAACCACUGAGCCAUGACGGGAACUCUAUGGCACAGCAUUUUAAAUAAAUUUUAAAUUUUAAAUCAAUUUAAUAAAAAUUUAAAACAAUUUUAUUAAAAAAUAUUCCACUGCUAUGGAUACAUCACAUUUUGUUUAUCCAUUCAUCCAUAAAUGGACAUUUGGGUUGUUUCCACAUCUUAGCUAUUAUGAAUAAUGGUGCUAUGAACGUUGUUGUACAAACAUCUAUUCAAGUAUCUACUUUCAAUAGUUUUGGCUAUAUAAUCCCUAAAGUAAUCUGGUGACUCAAUGUUUAAUUUUUUUGAGGAAGUACCAUACUGUUCUGCUAAAUCAUACAUUUUAAAAUGGUGAAUUCUUUUUUGUCUUUUUGAGGCCACACUCACGGCAUAUGGAGGUUCCCAGGCUAGGGGUCUAAUCUGAAUUCUUGCCACCAGCCUACGCCAGAGCCACAGCAAUGCCAGAUCCAAGAUUCAUCUGCGACCUACACCACAGCUCACAGCAAUGCCAGAUCCUUAACCCACUAAGCAAGGCCAGAGAUUGAACCCGAAACCUCAUGGUUCCUAGUUGGAUUCAUUUCCGCUGUGCCAGGAUGGCAACUCCUAGAAUGGUGAAUUUUAUCUCAUUUUUUUUUAAGGAGAAAGUUGUCGAUUAAAAAAGAAUAAAGAGGAGUUCCCAUCAUGGCUCAGCAGAAAUGAAUCUGACUAUUAUUUAUGAGGAUGCAGUUUCAAUCCCUGGGCUUGCUCAUGUAUUAAGGAUCUGGCAUUGCCGAGAGUUUUGGUGUAGAAUGCAGACAAGGCUCAGAUCUGGCGUUACUGUGACUGUGGUGUAGGCCAGCAGCUACAGUUCCAAUUCAACCCCUAGCCUGGGAAACUCCAUAUGCCAUGGGUGCAGUGCUAAAAAGACAAAAAAAAAAAAAAAAAAAAAAAAAAGAGUCGAUGACAACAAAAACAAAUGAGAGGGAAUGCGGUAGGCACUGCACAUUAGGUCACCCAAUCCCCAACCCCAAUCCUUUCUUUCUGGUCUUCCCAUAUUGUAAAGGCUAGAAAGGAACGGGGGGAGGUAUUCAACAUUAGCCUCUCUUGCACUCAAGGUGGAUUUCACUGGCUCAGUUCUGGCCAAUGAAAUAUCAUGGAAAUCUACUAAGACUUUCUGGGAAGGCUUUUGCUUUCUCACCUUCCCCUUCUUUCUGCCUGAAAAUGCAGAGAUGAAACUGGAAAUGGAGGGGCCAUCCUGCAACCAUUUGUGUAACAAGCUUAACAACAAAGCACCAACACGCUAAGAAUAGGGAAUGGAAAUCCUGAUGUGGGCUUUGAUGUCAUCUUUCAUCUGCAAUAUCAACCCAAGACUCUCUACCUCUGGACUCCUUGUUACAUGAGAU
rnacentral:lncRNA from 1 species